rnacentral:rRNA from 1 species
AGAGUUUGAUCCUGGCUCAGGAUGAACGCUAGCUACAGGCUUAACACAUGCAAGUCGAGGGGCAGCAUGGUCUUAGCUUGCUAAGGCCGAUGGCGACCGGCGCACGGGUGAGUAACACGUAUCCAACCUGCCGUCUACUCUUGGACAGCCUUCUGAAAGGAAGAUUAAUACAAGAUGGCAUCAUGAGUCCGCAUGUUCACAUGAUUAAAGGUAUUCCGGUAGACGAUGGGGAUGCGUUCCAUUAGAUAGUAGGCGGGGUAACGGCCCACCUAGUCUUCGAUGGAUAGGGGUUCUGAGAGGAAGGUCCCCCACAUUGGAACUGAGACACGGUCCAAACUCCUACGGGAGGCAGCAGUGAGGAAUAUUGGUCAAUGGGCGCAGGCCUGAACCAGCCAAGUAGCGUGAAGGAUGACUGCCCUAUGGGUUGUAAACUUCUUUUAUAAAGGAAUAAAGUCGGGUAUGUAUACCCGUUUGCAUGUACUUUAUGAAUAAGGAUCGGCUAACUCCGUGCCAGCAGCCGCGGUAAUACGGAGGAUCCGAGCGUUAUCCGGAUUUAUUGGGUUUAAAGGGAGCGUAGAUGGAUGUUUAAGUCAGUUGUGAAAGUUUGCGGCUCAACCGUAAAAUUGCAGUUGAUACUGGAUAUCUUGAGUGCAGUUGAGGCAGGCGGAAUUCGUGGUGUAGCGGUGAAAUGCUUAGAUAUCACGAAGAACUCCGAUUGCGAAGGCAGCCUGCUAAGCUGCAACUGACAUUGAGGCUCGAAAGUGUGGGUAUCAAACAGGAUUAGAUACCCUGGUAGUCCACACGGUAAACGAUGAAUACUCGCUGUUUGCGAUAUACGGCAAGCGGCCAAGCGAAAGCGUUAAGUAUUCCACCUGGGGAGUACGCCGGCAACGGU